rnacentral:lncRNA from 1 species
AACAAACCAAACGCAGAGGACCCAGCCGCGUCUACACCGCCUGCGCGCCAUGCACUUGUCCCGCGCGCGGGAGUGCAAACUUCGGGGUCGUUCCCCACCAAGCGCACGGGGAAACUGAGGCCCCGAGCCCGGGACGGACUUUCUCCAGACAGGAUCUGCCCGCUGUGCCCGCUGCCCUUGUGCCUGAGCCGCCCUGGGAGCCCCGGGCGCCCCGAUCCGGCCCGUGCGCCCCCGAGCGCCCCAACAGCUGCGGAGGCCCCCCCGCUCGGCGGGUGCGGGAGAGAGGCGCACGGCGAGGUGCCCGCGUCCACCCCGGCCCGGCGAAUCCCGGCGGGCGGCCGGGGCGGGCGCGGCGGGAGGUACUCACCGCGCGCGGUGGAGAGGGCGCCCCGGCGCGGUGCGGGUGCGGGUGCGGGUGCGGGCGCGGGUCCGACGCGGCGGGGCCACUGCAGCGGGCACGCUGCCGCCGCCGCUGCCUCCGCCUCCUGGGCUGCCGCGGCCGCCGCCUGCGCGGGGAGGACCGGCCCCUUCCCCUCCCUCGGCCGGGCCCUCCCUCUGCCCCCGCCCGGUCCCCGCGCCGCUGCGUGGGCGCGUGCGGGCUCCGAGGCGCGGCGCCGGGCUCGGCGGGCGCACACCCCCGGCGGCUGGACGCGGGGCGCGGGGCGCGGGGCGCGGGGCUCGGGCCCUGCCGCUGCCACUGCCGCCGCGCUGCUCCGAGCGCCUGCAGCCGAGCCGAGCGCGCUCCCUCUCGCCGGUCGCGGAGGAGGCGAGGGCCCAGCCUCCUCUCCACCCACCGACACCCACACCUCCUCCCUCUGCAACCCGGCACGGCCCCUGAGAGAAGAAAGCCUGCUCGGAAGGAACUGCAACAAUUACACUGACAUUCAUUCAUUCACCCACCCAUUCAUUCAUUCAGGGUACAUUGAGCACCUCCUGUGCCAGGUCCAGCUGUGGGAGAUUCAGCCAGAACGAGACAGACUAGUUUUCUGCCCUCCCGGAACUUACAUUCACAUGGGGAGGUGA